rnacentral:tRNA from 1 species
UACAUUUUGGUGUAUGGUGCACAGAAGUUUUUGAUAUUUCAGGGGGUAGUUUAAAUCUGUCAAAUGUAG